GCCCUGCUGCCCUGUAGUCCUGCUGGGGUGCCAUACCUGUUGCCCUGACGCCCUGCAAGAUCUGCAGCCCUGCCUCCCUGCUGCCCUGUAGCAUUGCUGCCCUGCUGCCCUGCUGCUCUUCUGCCCUGCAACCCUGCCUACCUACUGCCUUGCAUCCCUGCCGCACUGUGAGGCUUGUAGCAUUGCCGCCCUACACCCUGAACCCUGCAGCCCUGGGAGGCCUGUAGCCCUGCAGCCCUGCUGCUCUUCAGCCCUUCUGCCCUGCUGUCCUGCAUCCCUGAUGCCCUGUUGCCAUGCAGCCCUCCGAGGCCUGCCACCCUUCCACCCUGCUGCCCUACCUCCCUGCAGCCCUGCCGCCCUGGUAGGCCUACAGCCAUGCCGCCCUGCUGCCUGGCCACUCAGUGACCCUGAGAGGCCUGCAGCCCUGCCGCAAUGCUUCCCUGCUGCCUUGCCACCCUGCUACCCUGCAGCCCUUCCAGCAUGCUUCUCUGCAGCCCUACUGCCCUGCUGCCCUGCAGCCCUGCUGCCCUGCAAGGCCUGCAGCCCGGUCACCAGUGUCACCCACCCGGCCUUUAAGGUUUCUGAGCAGACACUGGACCCUGACCUGACUGGACGCUGCCUCCUCCGGCUCCCUCUCACUUACAGGAAAGUGGUGUCAUUCCCAUCUUUUCCUACUACCUGGAGAAGGGUAAGAAAGGAAGAAGAGAGACGCUGCAGAAUUUCAGAGCAGGGGCUUCCUGCUUCUGCUGAUGGGAAAAGCUGA
rnacentral:lncRNA from 1 species